rnacentral:ncRNA from 2 species
CCCACCCUGACGCAUCCUGUACUGAGCUGCCCCGAGCUGAGCACAGUGAAGGACCUCGGGGCAGCUCAGUACAGGACCCCUCAGGGAGGG